AAAUCCUUGUAAAUUUCUGAAGGACCCUAUAAACACACCCUUACAGACAACAGGCAAACCAAAAUUGGGGAUCUGAAGAAGAUGUUCGGAAAAACAAACGAGGCUCCGGCGAGAGAGAAGGGGAGUUUUUAAAGGGUUGUUGCCCCUCUCUUGCCACAACAUCAUCAUGUUGAGCUGAAAGGGUUUGUGACGCAGUGUGUUACCCGUUUCCCUUUUACUUCGAUGAUGAGAUGUUGCUGCUGUUGUAGUUACAUUAGAAAAGGCUGUGACGAUGGAAAUUGUUUUGAGCAAAAUCGGAAUUUACCGACUGGAUCCGUAUCUUGGCUAGGCAAAAUCAGAAAAUCUACUGGGAUUGCAGCCAUGGCGGAUUUCAACAAUAAAUUCUGACGAUAACAUAUCUGAGCCUCAAAACAUUUAUCCUUGGAGAUAAGAAGAACAUCUAUCUCUACCUAAAGGUGCACAUUUUGGGUUUUAUUUUGCCAAACAACGGUCAAAACCGGGAUUUGGUGAAACUAGUUUACAAAUUACAAGUGGAAAAGGAGUGGUUCUGUUUGAAACCAGUUCUGGUUUUUGAAACGGCUUCAAGGGAGGAGUUCUCAAAAAGAUAAGUGGAAAAGGAUCGAUUUCUUUCUGGUUCGGGUCACAAACUGGUUUUUUUAUUCAACUCUACAUUUACCUGUAACCACCUUAAAUGAUGAGAUGAUGUGUUAUGCUCUCAAUUGAAUUGUGGCUCAGGUGAGAUUGAGGAGGUUUCUUAGAGUAGCUUCCCUCUUGCCAUUUGAUCCUCU